rnacentral:rRNA from 1 species
GACGAACGCUGGCAGCGUGCUUAACACAUGCAAGUCGAACGGAAAGGCCCUGCUUGCAGGGUACUCGAGUGGCGAACGGGCGAGUAACACGUGGGUGAUCUGCCCUGCACUUCGGGAUAAGUCUGGGCAACUGGGUCUAAUACCGGAUAGGAGCUAUUUUUAGUGUGAUGGUUGGAAAGUUUUUUCGGUGUAGGAUGAGCUCGCGGCCUAUCAGCUUGCUGGUGGGGUAAUGGCCUACCAAGGCGGCGACGGGUAGCCGACCUGAGAGGGUGGACGGCCACAUUGGGACUGAGGUACGGCCCAGACGCCUACGGGAGGCAGCAGUGGGGAGUAUUGCACAGUGGGCGCAAGCCUGAUGCAGCGGCGCCGCGUGGGGGAUGACGGCCUUCGGGUUGUAAACUCCUUUCGCUGGGGACGAAGCUUUUUGUGACGGUACCUAGAUAAGAAGCACCGGCAAACUACGU